UGUAUAUGUAUAUGUGUAUCUAUCUAUCUAUCUAUCUAUCUAUCUAUAUCCACAUGUAUAUCGUGUGUAGGUGUGUACACAUAAUGUAAUUUCUCAAAGAGUCCUGAACAGGGUGUUGAAUCCAAUCCUCUUGGGUUGGAGAUUCAUGUGGUUGUAAGAGAUUGACAUGCGUGCUAGGAACUCAAGACCUCUGCAACAGCUGUAAGCACCUCAGCCACUUAGCUACUCAGCCACCUCCCCAGCCCUCAAACAGCGACCUUUUAUAAAUAAAUCCAUUAUUCAGUGUAACAAUAAAUAUGAGUAGCUUUAACUAUAUUUUAAUUGAAACAUAUGUUCUCCAUACUGAAUAAACUCUUUAAUAUGCUUUCACUUUACUCAAAUUAUAAUAACAUUAAAAUUUUUCCAAAAUUGUAUAUCAAUGUCUGAUAGACCCAGAUGACUUUUCAAAAGCCUUUAACCAAGAAUCUGAAAAGUACAGUGAGUUUUGAUCCUCAGACAGAAUUAAAUGAUUCCAAAGGCUCAUCACUCUAUGGAGUAUGUAUAAAUGUCUUCAUCUAAGCAUUCUUCCUUUUCAUCAUAAUUAAUGAAGGGAUGAACAACAUAACAUAAUUUGAAGAACUCUCCCAAUAUAUUUAUAACAAUGAUAUCAUUACAUCAUAAACUCCAAUAACAAUGAUAUGAAUUACUUUGUUGCAAAUAAGCCAGAUGUUUCAAUAGUUUACUUCCUUAUUUGGGAUAAAAGCUCUACUCAGGAUGAAAUAUUAUAAGAUCUAAAAACUUAAGUGCUUCUUAGAUAUUCUCAAGCUUCACAAUGUCCAGAGUCUUUCAAUGAUUUCUGCUAUCAGUAGAUAGUCUUUGACUCAAAAAGAACAAUUCACUACCCAGCUAUUUCCCCUGGAAGACAUACCAGUUUCACCUCACAUGGUCUCAACUAAAUGUGUUUGAAUUCCCUGAAAAUCUGUAAAUUUAUUUAAAAACAAAAAUUUCAUCUUUUUAUAAGAAUCAUUAUUACCUCACCCUCUUGUUACAAAGCCAAGUUACUACAUCCUCAGUGUUUCGUUCUGCACCUGGCCUAGACUUGCAUGACAUAUGGUAUCUAUUUCCCCUGGAAUAUAAGUGUGAUUAAAAAGAUGUGGACAAAUCCACAUUGAAUGUUACAUGUUUGACACAUAUGGAUCUCUUAAAUUAGCUUAGUAGUGAAAUGAACUUUACUCCAACUACAGUAAUCUAAUCACUACCCGCACCUGUAUACUGGCUAAAAGCACCACAGCACAACAAAAAUAAUAUAGAGCUCUGUCCAGUCAUUUCCAAGGUAAAAAUCUGACUUUUUCUCUCUCAGCUUCCUUCCCUGGAGCAUUCCAUGUUCUUACACCAAUUCCAGCAUUUCUAAUAAGCAUUAUAGCUCUCCAAUUCAUCAUAGAAGACUGAGGUACCACAGUGUACCUUUUCUCUCUUCCAACCUUUCCCCUCACCUCAGGAAUCCCUGUGGAGAGUGUCUCCCAGAAUCCUUUCCAUGAAGAAUCAUUAACUCAGAACCUGAUUGUCAGGGAGCCUAACCUGCGGGCCACCACUUCCAUCACAAUCACCAGGAUUCUUGUUAGAAAUGCAAAUGGCUGGUAUUUAUCUCAGACCUAUGGAUUAGAAAUCUAGGAUUAGAGGUUGAGAGUCAUCUGCAUUAUUAAAAAAGCAUCUCAGAAAAUUAUUUUUCUCAUUACAAUGGUGCUAACAAUGACAGCUGUGAUUAUCUUGAUUGUAUACAAAAUUGAAAUGCUGAAAUGUAUAAGGGGAAGUGCUAGAAGAAUUUCAAAACCUCAUGUAGGCUUUUAUGUCAAAAUCAUUUAUAUGGAAGCAUAAAAUAUCUGCACAUAAGCUCCAUAGAGCACUAACAAAGAAACCACAGGCAGAAACAAGGAUUCUAAGUUUAUAGAUCAUAGAAUGUCUGGGAACAGCUACAGGAAUUAAAAUACUUAAUUUAACAGUUAAGUAAGGGCUUAGAGUCUGUACAAAUAACAAAUACUGUGUGUCUAGGAGACCCCAAAAUAGGCAGUGAUAUAUCUUUUAUGUAACUAUUCUUAGCAGGAUGUUGCUUUAUGUGGGUUCUGUAUAAAUAUGGCUUCAAGGUCAUAGGCUGGAACCUAGGCCUCACUCCUUCCCAUUCCUGUGUUUAUGUACCUGUAGGUCUAUGUCUCUCCCUCCUUGUAGCCUAUGUGCUCUUCUAUAUGUGUGCUUGCGUAUCUGCUGGUGUUUGCCUGUCUAGUGGCCUUCACCCAGAGUAAACAGAGUAUUUCUUAUUUUCUGUCAGCUCCUCAUGCUCUCUUCAAUCUCUAUCCUGUAGGGAGUUUCCUCCUUUCCUAGUAAUGGAACUUAGAUCUCAUGUCUGGCGUAGUCAGAAAGAUUCAACUGCCCUACCUCACUGGGUGUAUCUCUUCAGAUUCUGUUGGACAUUCUUCUGGGAGAGGAGCAGAGCUUGGAAAAUUAACUGGCUCUUUUAACUGCAGAGAAAACUGGUCUUGAGGACAUUUUGAGGAGUAUAUUUAGAGUUUGGAGCAGCUGAACCCUAUACCUCUAAGAGGUGGAAGAUAGCAUUUUGAUGGCAUCACAGUAUACGGAGAGAUUCGCCUCCAUCAAUACCACCCCACUUAAAGGUGGUGCCUACAAGACACAACCAUAGAACUGGGAAAAAACAUGCUAAUGACCUCUGUGAUGGGUGUAGUACAUACAGUAUGUGGUAUUGAUAGACAUGCUGGAAUGGCCAAUUGUAUCAAGAAUUAAUCUGUGAGAUACAACCUUCUUCUAGCAGAAAA